CAAGGGGUAACAACAUCACAAUAAGCUUCGAGAGUGAUCAAGACUUGAUUGUCCAAAUCCUCAGCAUACUUAUAACAAGGGCAACUAGUGCCAAGUAUGCUUUGGAAUGUCGGACAACAUUCAUCAAUUGAAGUUGUGUUGAACAUGCAUUUCUUCACCUUUGCUUUGUCACCUGGCGAACAAGUUGUUGCCGGGGCGGGAGGGGGAGGGGGAGGGCUUGGUGGUGGAGGUGGUGGUGAUCGUGGUGGUGGAGGUGGUGGACAUGGUCGUGGUUUUGGAGGAGGGCAUGGAUAUGGUCGUGGAAAGGGAAAUGGCCAUGGUAAAUAGCAUGGGAUUUCCCAUGGCCAUAAUUGUAACUUGUUCCCAUCCUCGACCACGUCCACGUCCACAACAACUUCUCUUGCCACGACCACUUGGUGGUGGCUGCAAAACAUAAUUGCAGCCACCACUAACAUCAUAAACAUCUUCAUAGUUGCCAUAUUGUGAGUGAUUUGUGUCAUAUAGUGAAGAUAGAUAUAACACAUCUAUAUAUACUAUCAAAUUAUUAAGAUUAAUUAACAUGUGGUAGGUAUGCUUUCAAUUUAAUAUAAAAAACAACCAUCAUUUAUUGGUCUUGUUUGAUAGUACUUCUUUUUGAAAUAAUACUUAUUAUUUUAUGCACCACAUUAAAGAUGUUGUAAUAUUAUAGUAUUUAUUUAUGCAACCACAUUAAAGUUGUUCUAUGAUACUUGUUCAGUUUAGAAAAUCGAGAAAUAAUUUAUCCUUUUAUGUCUAUUUUAAUUACCCUUCAAUAUCCAAUAUUCCCUCCAUUUAAAAAAGAAUGACAUCCUUUCCUUUUUAGUCUGUUUCAAAAAGAAUGAUCUCUUUCCUUUUUUGGUAACAUUUUAAUUUCAGUUUUCCACGAGGAAUGUUUAAAGCCACAAGGUUGAAGGGCAAUUUAGUACAUUUGACAUAACUUUAAUUUAGGACCACAAGAUUCAAAAGUCUUCUUUAUUUUCUAAAACUCCGUACUAAGUCAAAUCAGGUCACUCUUUUUGAAACGGAGGGAGUAUUCAAAAUAUUAAAUAUAAUAUAUUUAAACGGUAAUAUAAUAAUACUAAUUUUAUUAUUUAUUAUUUCUUUAAGAUGUGGGGCCAGAGAGAGUAUUAUAAUAGGAUGUGGAUCCCAAACAAUUAUGUCCCCUUAAUUUUUAAAUUUGAAAAAAAAAUCAAUUAACAUUGAUUAGUAAACUCUAUGAUUUGUAUUAUUGCAUAGUAGUACUAGUAGAGUUGUUGAAAUAAAUUAGUUGGAAUAGUAGGUAAACUCACAUUAAUAUCUAGAAAAAAUAAAUAACUUCUUCAAAUGACACAAUAAAUUUAUGUGGCUAGAGAGAAAAACAAUUAGAUAUUUUAUUUGGUUCAUAUUAUAUGAUGUCCUUAGUUUGGACGUAGCUCUUAAGAAAUACAUCUAUACCUAUAAAGUAAGAUGUAUUUCACUAAAUUACUCUUAAUUAAAUAGUUUGUUUGUUGAGUAAAAAAAAUCAUUUAUAUAAUAAUGAUAAAAAAAAUAUAUUAAUUAUUUUGGAUCAAAUAUAAAAGCUAAAAACAACAUAUAAAAUUUUGAGAGAGUAAUUAUUUAAAAUUAUGGAGUAUCUAUAGACUAUAUAUAAUACUCUCUUUCUUUUAAUUUAUUUGUCUUACUUUUUUAAUCCGUUUAAGAAAAAAUAUCUCUUUCAUUUUUUGAAAGAUUAUUAAUUUUAAUUCUCUCUAUAUGGUAUAUCUAAGACUAUAAUAUAAAAUUAAAUCCUUUUAUUUUUUAAAAUUUUAUGUCAAGGUAAAAUCAAAAGCGCGUAACUUUUUUGUCUUCCUUCUGUGAGUUGUCUUUUUAUGAAAAAAAUAAUAUAUGAGGUUGUGGCCAAUAAUAAAAUCGAGGAUGAUGUAAUGGUGAAACUGUUUCACUCUUGAUUAAAUGUAUCGGAUUCAAGCUUUAGGUAUAAUUUUUCUUUUACCAAGGAUACGGCCACGACAAAUGUUGAUAUAAAAAAUCAAAUGGGAUGAGCCUAGUGACUCACUUCCCUCAUCGACCAAGGCGACUUCUUUCGCCAUGGUCACUUGGUGGUGGCUGCAAAAUAAAAUUGCAACCACCACUAACAUCAUGAGCAUCUUCAUAAUUGCCAUUUUUCACUAACCAAGUGUUUGUACCAUGAAGAGAUAUUAACCAUCUAUAUAUACAAAAAUAAUUUUUUAGAGUUAGUUGAGAUAAUUCGAUGUCAUAUAGAUCCACUUGCAUAAAAUAUUAUUUCUUCAAAAAAUGACUAAUUAAGUCCAUUCCUAAUGGAUCAUGUCUGAUAUUUUUUCAAUAAAGUACAUACUAUUUUUAAAAUUAUUGCAUAUAUAUAUAUAAAAGAACUAUUAUCCACAACAAUUUCACUAUAAUAGUUACGUUUUUUAAGAGUUGAUUUUUCAUGUUAUUCAGUAUAAUAUAUUUUUUAUAUUAGAAACAUUUUGUUGUAACAAUUACAAAUUAUCCAGACAAACAAUGUUAGAACAAGUUGUGUUUUAAAAAAAACAUUUUCUUAAUUAAUUGAAUUUUACAAAUUUCAAUGAAGAAUAAAUUAGCCAAAGAAUUAGGUAAAUCUAACAAAAAAAGUAGUAGUAAAUGACACAUUAUUUUUACAAAAGUCAAAUAUUUAAAGUUAAUUUAAUCUAUAGUUACGGAUUAUAGCCAUGGAAUGAACAUGAAAAAUAAUGAAAUUUUAUGAAUGAAAACUUAAAAUACUUCUAAGUCUGUUUUUUAAACUUUAAUUAUUAUUUUCAAGUUAAAAUUUAAAUUAUAGAAUAAAUUAACAAUAACAAUAAUUUUGCCUUAACCCCAAAUAAAUUAGGACCGAUAUCUAAAUCUAAUUUUUCUUUUAAAUUUAUUUUAUAUCGAUCAUCAUUUUACAUAAUAAAAGUUUAAUAGAUAUAUAAAAAAAAAUAACCAUAACUCUGAUAAUCAAUACUAAAAUUUCUAUAACAAUAUAUUUUCAACUAGUAGAUAUUUUUAUAUAUAUGAAUUUUUUUUCAUUGUAUCUUUCAUUAAGUUUGCAUCAAUAUAAAAACAAAUUAUAGAUAUUGAAAUAAAAUAUCCUUUCAUACAAUUUUACAUUUAGAAGUGUAAUCUCUUUCGUAUCCCGUUUCGAUUGCUAACCGACUUACUUAAUAGGUCAGGCUGAAAAAAAGGCCAAAUUCUUUACGAAAAUGAAUUUAAGCAAAAAACAUUUUUCUAAUUAUCAAAAUUUUAGACUUACAAAUUAACACAAUUUUAAAUCGAUAUAACAAAUAUAAACGAUUUUCUCGUAUUUCAAAAAAUUCUUUAUAAUAUAUAAAAGGUUUGGUUGGUAGGUGGGGGAAGAAGCAAUAUGGUAGUAGGUGGUGAAAAUGAAUAAUUGGUAUUUCACGUGAUAAUAAUUUAAAUUUGUUGAGAAAAAAGGACAAUAAUGCAUGUUAUUCCACAUUUCCAAUAGGUACAAUAAAUAUUAGGGAAAAAGUUCAAAAAUGCCUUUAAACUAUGUGAAAAGAAAAAAAAUAUUCCCAUUUAUAGUUUGGCUCAAAAAUGUCCUUACUGUUAGUACUUUGGUUCAAAAAUGCCCUUAAACUAUGCGAAAGGAACAAAAAUGUCAUCCAUUUGUAGUUUGGUCCAAAAAUGCCCCUGCCGUCAAUAAUUUGGUCCAAAAAUGCGCUUAUUGUUAUUUAAUGGGUCAAAAAUGAUCAUAUUUCAAAUAAAUAUAUUAUUAUUUUUAACACAUUCUUUUUCUAAUAAUUUUUUUAAAAUUAGCAAAUGUUUAUCUUACUUCAAUUAAAAAAAGAAGAAGAUAUUUCUUAUUUUAUUAUCAUUAUUUAAAUUACUCUUAAUUAAAUAGUUUGUCUGUUGAGUUAAAAAAUCAUUUACAUAAUAAUGGUAAAAUAAAAUAUAUUAAUUAUUUUGGAUCAAAUAUAAAAGCUAAAAACAACAUAUAAUAAAAUUUUGAGAGAGUAAUUAUUUAAAAUUAUGGAGUAUCUAUAGACUAUAUAUAAUACUCUCUUUCUUUUAAUUUAUUUGUCUUACUUUUUUAACCCGUUUAAGAAAAAAUAUUUCUUUCAUCUUUUGUCAAAUUAUUAAUUUUAAUUCUCUCUAUAUGGUAUAUCUAAGACUAUAAUAUAACAUUAAAUCUUCUAUUAUUUUUUAAAAUUUUAUGUCAAGGUAAAAUGAGAGAGAGUAAUUUUUUUUUUUUGAGGUACAUUAUGGUAGGUGUGGCUUUAAUAGGAGUAGUUGAUGAUUAAUUUAGCAUCAUGAUAAACGUGCUUUGAAAAACAAUAGUAAUAAUUAUUGAUUUCUUUUUUUAAAAAUUUUUUUACUCGGUGUUUUAUAUAUACAUAAAAGUUUGAUUAUUUCAAAUUCGUGUCACGUAGGAUUCCAUUUGAAGAAAAAUAUUUCCUAUUAGUUUUUUUUUUCAUAACCAAGACUAGAACCCAAGAAAUUAUUAAUAUAUAGAAUAUUUCUACUAUAUAGAAAAGCGAAGUGAUGGACGACCACCGGUAAUAUCAUAAAUUUGUUCAUUUUCAAUGGUAAAUUGUUUUAGCAAACCAAGAUAUUUUGUACUUCUUUUUACUACGUGGCAUGCUCAGAUCCACAAGUUAAAAAAUCAAUGUUCUUAUUCUUAAUAAGAUAGGGCAAUUUUGCUUAUCUUCCGUAAUAAAAUCCAAAAUUCAAAUAAUAAAUAGUUGGUUCGAAAGGAUGAUCAGUCACAUUACCAAAUUAAUUAAGACACAAUCGAAAAUCCGAGAAAAAAACAAUAUUAAGCACUUAAUGAAAAAUGCUUCUUCUUACGUUAUUUAUAUGAUGUAGUUUGACUGAUUACAACAUUUAAGAAAAAAACGAUUUCUAAAUUUUAAUUUUUGUGCCUAAAAGUCGAUAACACUCAGAAAUUUAGUCGUUAAAAAAGAUAGAUAGACGACUUGCCUACUUAAAAAAAAGAAUCAACAUAGACGCGACAAUAUAAUAAAAAUUAUUAGCUAAAUCUAUUUAAUGAAAAAUUAACAUUAAAUCAUUGAAAAAUUUUAUUAGCUACGAUUUAUUUAGUGACGAAUUCCAUAACCAAUUCCUAUUUUUUUUUUUUUUAAGGUGACCAAGAGAAAAGAAAUUUUUAUAACAACUUAUCUUUACUUUUUAUAAUAUGUAAUUUAUUUUAUUUUUAUAAUUACAAAUCAUAUAUUUUAAUGUUACUUAAAGUAUCUUCCUUAUAUAUAGAAAUUUAUUGUAUAUUUUGUUAUUUUCCCUACAACAUUAAUUUGAUAAUGACAUGGCCGCAAAAAACUAAUUUUAAUUUAUUGAAUAUUAUAAAUGCAUUUUAACUUUUUAUAUCCAAGUUUUCUUUUCUAGAAUGGGACCAUUUGAGUCAUUUUCAAGUCAAUUUCUUUGUCUAGUUUAGGUAAAUUUAAUUGUAGAAUAAUUAUAUAGUAUGUAAAAAGUUUUUACUUAGACUAGCUAAAGACAACAUUCUUGUAUAAUUGUUGUUACAACCGUCUAUAAUUUGUUAAUUUUAGUCCUAAAUAUAUACUAUUGUCACUGUCAUAGUAGAGUGUAAGACAAUUUUGAAUUGGAUGUAACUUAGUACUAUAUUUUAACUUAUCUUAUUUUUCAUGUUAUUAAUCUCACUUAUUAUUAACAAUUUUGUGUAAUUAUCUUUAUUUGGAUUGAACAUGAGGGUCUUAAUUGGAUUCUUAAUUAUUUGUUGGUCAUUGCAAUUUCAAGUACUUCAUCUAAAUUGUAUCUAUUAUUUUUUCUUAUUUCUUUUUACCCUUUUUGAAAUCAUAGAUUGGGGAGAGGAAGGGGGAAUCAGAGGGGAGAGUCAGAAGCGAAACUAGAAUUUCUAAAAUAUGGGUGCAUUACAAAAAAAAAUGUAUUUAGUGGGAAUAGAUCGUUGCUUUUUUGGAUAAAUAACUUAGCGUUCAAUCAUGUGCAUUAUUCAACCCUUCUGAAGUAUGAAUGUCAAUUGAUAAUAUUAACCCAAUUUUAGCAACUAUGUACAAGUUUAGCAGAUAUAUAUAGACCAUAGGUUCACGUGCACCAUAAUUUCUAUACUAAAUUUAUCCGUGGAUUACAAGGUGGGAAUCAAACCCCCACCUAGAAGAUGUUCAAGAGUAACCGACUAACCGAACAACUAAAAUUCUUCUUUUUUUUUUAGCUUGAGUUUGUGUAUUUGUAAUGACCUGGAACCGUAAGGUCAUUUUUGAUAAUUUUGAAUAGUCAUUUAUCUAUAAUUAAUUAAUUUUCGGGUAGUUUAUUUAUAAUUAAAAAUAAUGGACCAAGUCUGAAUUGUUAAAAUAGGUUACUAGGAAUUAUUACUUUUAAUAUAUAAUUAAUUUUGAAAAAAAAAAGAAAGAGGCGGAAGAAAAACUAACCUAGACGUGCGAUAGGAAGCAGGAAAAUUUGAGUGGUUCAGGUUAGUUCUAAUCAAGAUUCUUUGUAAAAUUGUAUAUAAAUAUAUAUAUAUCUUAGGGUGAUAUUAUUGUUAAGGGAUAUGGUUGGAAAUUGUUUGUUUUUAAAAGAAAAGAAACAAAAUAUUGUCAGUACGUUGUUUGGGUUGAACAGAAGGGAAAUUUGAAUUGAAAAUAAGGUGGGUGUAAUUGUUAUUAAUGAAAUUAUGUACUCAUUGUCAUGAAUGGAUAAGUUGUUGAGUUUGUCGGGUGUUUUUCAUGGUUUUGCCAUGCAUUUGCGUGACCAGUAGAUUUCAUAGUUAGUUGUUCCUAUUUUAAAUAUUAUAUUAUAAAUUAAAUAUUAAAUAUAUUGAGAUAGGUAAUUAAAUAUUGGGUUACCGAAUUAUAUGAAUAUCAUUAGACUUAUGAUAUUGGAGAAGUUGAAGCUUAACCCUAGGCUUGAAACUUAGAAACUUGAUUAUGAAUUUGGGUGAAUUGUUGGUUCAAGGCUAAACACAUAGUAAUGUGGGUGUUGUUCAUUUCAAAAUCUUAUUGUUGUAAUUUGUUUGGAUAGAUUGUAUUGAUUUGGAGCCCAAUGAAAGAGGGAGACUCAAGUCCCGGAGUGAUUGUUCGACUAUUUGAGGCAAGUGGAUUUCUAAACCCUUAUUAAGUGUAUGGAAUUCGUUGUAUUUCCUUGUAAUAUGUGUUUGAAGGUAAUGAGAGUUGGUGAUGGGUUGACUUGUCCACAUUGAUUAAUUCUCAUGAUGAAAAAGAGGUAAUAAAAGGCAAUGUGAUUAAUUGUUUGUGUGUGAUGUGUUGAGAAUGAUUUGAAAGGCUUGUUGAAUCAUUGUUGAUAUUGUAUCGUGAUUGUGUUGUUGUGAAUUGUGCAAUGUUAUGAAAAUGGUCAUCUCCUCAUUAUUUAUGUGAACAUGUCAUUUACAUUGUUCUGAGACAUGGUUGUGACAAGUGUUAUGUUAAUUGAGAAAGAAUAAUAAAUUAAAGAGGAUGUACUAUUUCGAGGGACGUAUCGCACGCCGCGAUGGAUACUAUAUUUCGAGGGACGUAUCACGCGCUGCGAUGGUUACUAUUAUCGAGGGUCGUAUCGCGCGCCGCAAUGGAUGCAUGGAUAGAUAUGUCCCCCAUGGGUCCUGGACUAAGAGACAGCGGGUGUGUAUCACUAGGUCAGACAUGCAUCACUAUACUUGACAUUGCAUUACACUGCAUUGCACAUAUUUAUCAUUAGUGAACUUGAUAUUGUGUUUUGCUGAUCUUGUGAGUGCCUUUCUGUAGAACUUUGAUUGAUAAUUAUUGAGCUUGUUCUUGAGAAUAUGUAAUUGUUAGAGUGUUGUUGUCGAGUUGUGUGCUAUGUGAAUUAUAAACUGUUAGGUUGGGCUGGUUUUAAGCAGGUUGUAGUUGUGGAGGUUGUAAUUGAUGAAUAUUGAGCUUGUUGUUGUGAAUAUGUGAUUGUUAGAAUGUUGUUGUUGAGAUACGUUCUUGUAAAUUGUGAACUGUUAGAUUGGGCUGGUCUUAUAUAGGUUGUAGUUGUUGAGGUUCGAUUGGUGUGUACGGAGUACCUGUAUUCUAUCCCCUUAGCUUGUGUUUAGAGGUUUACUUGUUGAGUACCGUGUGGUUGGGUACUCACCCCUUGCUUCUACAAUUUUUGUAGGCUACGAGCCUAGAUUUUGUGCUACUUGUCAUUCUCUUCUUUUCCGAGGCUUCUUGGAGAUUUGUGAGGUAUCUGUUUAUCAUCUCAGCGGACCUUCUUACUCCUAUUUAUGAUCUUGUUCUAUUAUAUAAACAAGGUCAUUUGAGACUGGUGUUUUUCUUUUGAAUCAAUUGCAAUGUUUUAGAGGCUUGUACACAUGACAACUAGAUUUUGUGGGUAUUUUUGAGUUGAUUAUAAAAUUUCCGCAUUUUAUUGUAAUGGUUGAGUUUUAGGCUGACUUGUCUUGGUGGGAUAAGACAAGUGCCAUCACGUCCAUUUUUGGGUCGUGACAAUAUUAUUUUUGGAAUUAAAUUUAUACACAUGAACACCUUACACUUUCCUUCUUUUCUUACAUCAUAUAUACACGUAUUUCUUAUAUAUUAUCUGUGCACAUAACUUAUUAACCUCGUAUAUAUUGUUUUUGUUGUGUUUACACAGGCGCGACAACUUCAUCACACAUAGAUGCAAGAAAUAUCCUUUCACCAAACUCCUUGAUGAACACCCUUGACAUGAACAACAACCAAUAUUUAUAUGGAAGUAGUAGCAACAUAAACUUAGGCACCUUCUCCAAAUUGGGCAAUAACAACAACAACAUCACAAAGACUACUACUACUACUACUACAAGUGGUGUUCAAUUUGAUCAUCAUCAUGACAACAACCUCAUUGGAUCAAGUACUACUACUACUAACAAUCCCUUUUUCCUUCAAGAAACAAAUCAAGAAUACAAUCCUAACAACAAUAUCAAACCAUUAAUGGUCCAUGGCCAAAUGCAACUUCCUAAUCUUGAUCAAAACAAUGAUAACAACAACAGUAGUAGUACUAUGUUUAACCUCAACUUUUUUCAAAACAAUUUGUCUACCAAUAGUGGAAUUUUGGGUGAUCAUCAUCAUGAUAACAAUAAUAUAAGUAAUUCAAUUCCAUCACUUUAUGGGAUGGGUACAAGUACUUGAGAGUUGUAAUCUGGACCAAUAAUGUCAGCCACAUCAUUACUACAAAAGGCAGCACAAAUGGGAUCUUCUAGUACAAGUAAUAUUAGUGCAACUGCCUUAUUGUUCAAAGCCUUUGGAAGUACUAGUGGUUCAUCAUCUAGUGGCACAAAAUUUGAUCAUCAAGCUUUCAGCUUUGGUAGUUACAUUACAAGUAUGGUUGGUUUAAGUUUAAAUACAUACCUGGGCACUUUCCUCAGAAUUCUUAAGGCAUUCUAGCUUUCCAAUUACGUUGUUUGAUUAAUGAGAAAUUCAAAACUAAUCAAAGGCCCAAGUCACUCGUAAACACCUUGGGACCAGUAAUAAUCAUCCAACCAGUUGAAAAUAACCUUUCGAACCUAACGAAAGUAUUAGAACACAAACUGACCUCGUUUAUCCAAAAUGUUGACUUUGGUCAAACUUUUCAAAUUUUAAAACUGAAAAUCUCAACCAAUGAUGAUUUAAUCAUCUCGAAAUUUGUGUUACUCAUUUUUGCAAGUCAUAACCAACACAAUAAAGUUAUAAAAAUGUUCUAAUUGAAAAAAUUGAGUUUAAAGGAACAAAACAACCAUACAGAUCAUUACACUAUCUAAGGAUUAGGUACCGAGAUUGCAGUGUCCACGUACAUAUUCGAACAUGAAUAAUACUUUAUCACUACAUUGCCUUAUUGUAUUAUAUUGAAAUCCUAGUCAUUUAAUUUCUUUCAAAACGGGUGUGUUCAUUUUACUAUGUUUAAUUUUUUUUACGUUAGAGGGAAAUAGUUAAUUAAAAAUUCAUAUAAACACUCCACACUUUUGUAAACUAUUAGAACACGAAACUGACCACAUUAAUUUGAAAUGUUGACUUUGGUCAAACUUUUCAAAUUUUCAAUAAUGGAAAUUUCAACCAAUUAUGAUUCGAUCACCUCAAAAAUCGUGUCACUCAUUUACGCAAGUCAUAAACAACACAAUGAAGCUAUGAAAAAUUUUAAAAUUGAAAAAAUGAGUUUAAAGAAACAAAACGAUCAUAUGGAUUAUUACACUAUCAAAGAUAAUUUAAUAUUGAGCUACGAAUGUUUUUCGUAGCAAAUAGUUAAAUUAUUUAGCUACAAAAUUUAAAUCGUCACUAUUUAAACAUUGCAAAUUUUGUGACAAAACUAUAUUGUCACUGAUUCGUAGGUUAAUCAGAGACAACAAAAUAAUCGUCACUAAUUGCUUAUAUUAUUAGUGACAUAAACUUGGGUCGCAAUUUAAUAUAAAAUUUUGUAGCAAAAGCUUACAAUAUUUAACUACGAACUCUGAUUUGUCACAAUUACAAUAAUUUAUUUUUUGUGACAAAACUUUUUCGUGACCAAAAUUAUAACUUUUUUAAGGCAAAUAAUAGUCUGUCACAAAAUGAAUAAAUUAUUAGUGAUAAAAUAUUGUGCCACUGAUAAUUUAAAAUUUGUCACUAACGGUACUUAAUAUAUGGCGCCAAAUUAUUUUUUGGCGGGAAACUUUAGUGGACAAUAUUUUAGUAUGAAACUAUAUGUUUCGUCACUAAAAAUAUGUUGCUUAUGCAUUUAAAUACAAAAUGUAAUUUUUGUCACAAAAAAUGAAUAAUUAGUGUCGAAAUUUUGUCGUACCUAAAAAUUCCGUAGCUAAAUAUCACAUUUGUUGUAGUGACUCUUUUACUCUUAGUUGGGAGAUUCUCUAAUCGACAACCACCACUAUGAGCUAUGUGAUGAUACGUCUCCCCACGCUGCCAAAACUGUCAAAUACCUUGUCGAAGUACAAGACAUCCUCAAUUAAGUGGAUCCACUAAGCUAUGCUUAAAAUCAAUAAGGAAUCAUCUAAAAAGAAUGACCAUUUUUACCCACGUUGGCAUACAUGGUUUAUGAGGACUUUAAGUUGUCUGAACUCAUCCCCAUAUCGGUGCUCAAUACUACUCUCAAUAAUAUAACUCAUGCUCAUAUGUUUAAAAAUAUUUCCUCAUCCUCAAACUUUGAGAUUAUUACUUAAAAGGUUCUCUUAAAAGAGAUUAGUGCUCAAAACUCCUCAUGAAUUCAUUUGGAAAUCAAGGUUUCCUUCUCAUUUUAAAUGUAAAACAUUUACUCUUAGGAAUACUUAGUUCCCAUAUAUUCAUUUUGAAAAACUCAACUCUCCUCAUCCUCAUACUCAAGUGAUCAAGUCUUAAAACAAAUAUUAAAAGUUUGAAAACGACUUCUUAAAAUGACUCAAAAGAACUCCGUCGAACUUUACUCUUAACUCUAUCUUGAAUUUGAAAUGUGAAUUCAAGAAUUAUGAUUUGGUUAUAUAGGAUUUCUCAUUGAUUAGAUGUAGUUUGGAUAGUUAAAAGCAAGAAGAGAGCGAAAAAUGUUUUAAAAGAACUCAGACAAAACUAACGACAAAAAAUGGACGGGGGCAGGCGACCUUGGUGCAUUCCGGGCGCAGGGCACCAACCCCACCUUGACUGUAGCCCAUUUGGGGCACACUGCAGGCGUGGUGCUCCAGUCGCCCUGGCGCAUCACACUACCCUCCCCCAGAAUAAUCUAAUGAAUUUUUCUUCUCAAUUUUUGGCCCUAAUUCACCUAGAAUCAAUUGAUUUCUUCCAAUCUCUCUUUGAUUCGUAUACCCAACAUAAGUAAAUGAAAACUUACUCAAAAUCUUCUAAACAAUAACCCUCAUACUCAAACCCUCGCCUCAAGAACUCAUCAAACUCUAACAAUAAAGAUUGAAGAACGAAACUUUCAAGAAAACUCAUCAAGAACUUUGAUGAGUCCACGAUUUGGACUCAUUUAGGACUUUAUCUUAAUAGAUUUAGUGUCCUCAAAUGCAUAUUUUGUACUAAUAACUUUUGUAAAUCCCUGAAUUUCAGGUAUUUGGAUUGAGGAACAAAACAUGGACACUAUUAAGCAAAAAGGAACAAGGCGGAUCGUCGAUCCAAUCGGCGAUCCCGACUAACUGCGCCAACUGAACCUCUGCAACACACUUUUUGACAAUUAUAAAUACUUGUUUAAAUUUUUAGCUUAGUAUCUGAUCUUUUAGAGAAUCAUAAUAUUUUUUCAGUUUUUGAAGUUGAGAGUUUAGAACUGAAUAGAGAGACAAUAUUUCCUUAGCAUUGAAGAUUUGAAGAUUUCCAUUUCUAAGAAAUUGGAAGUGGGUGUUGAAGAUUCUUCAUCUUAGACCUUUUCCACACAUUCAACUCGAGAAAGAGGUUUAAAAACCAAAAUUACUUAAUCGAUGGUCUAUGGGUAUUGGGUUGUCAUGGAUUCAGCUCGAGAGAGUGAACCUUUUUUACACAUUCAGCUCGAGAGAGUGAAUGGACUAAAGCGAAUAUUGUGCUUCAUUGCUGCUUAUUGGUAGUCGAAAGAAACUAAUUUGAUUCAGGAUAAAUUGUUCGAGAGAAAGUUUACCCCCACUAAAGUCCAGUUUAUUCACUGAUUUGCAGCAGUUUACUAUUAUUUCAAUUACCCGGUUGUUUACCUUAGCCCAUAAUCCAAUCACAUCCCAAGAAUCCCGUCUCCAUAUUCAUAUUUUCGUGUUAUUUGCUGUUUUAGUUGAUAAUACGAACAAACCCCCUAUUGGUAUUUGACACUUGUGUCAUCUAAAAUUUAAAUCAUGUUUUAUUCGCAAAUGUUUUUAGCUAUGAUUGACUAGAGCAUAUUCUUUCUUUUCUAUUGAUUCUUGAGUACGAAUCACUCCCUUAGGACUCGACCCCAACUCAUUAGUUGGGUUAUAUUACUAUUGAACGAUUGUUGAUGCUUAGUAUUAAAAGUAUCUUUGAUAGCGUUACACUUUAUCAAAAUGGUGCCGCUGCUAGGGAAUGGUGUUACUUGAGAAUUUUUAGUUAAGUUGAAUUUUGUUCUUGGUAGUUAUAGUGAUACUUACUUAAUUUUUAGUUUUAAUUUGCUUGUUUGUGUGUUAAAUCAGAAAGUAUGAAUGUGAACGGCAGCAAUGGCAGCCAAGUAGGCCAUUAAGAUGACAUCAGAAACAUCAACGAGCCUCAUGCUAAUGACCCCCAUCUCAUGGGAGGUAUUGGUGCCAUUCGAUUGCCUUCGGCCGAAGAGAAUGCAGUGUUCCACAUCACAAGUAAUAUGUUGCAACUCUUGCAACUAAAUGAGAUUUUUAGUGGUUUGGCUCAUGAAGACCCUCAUGAGCAUAUUAGAAAUUUCGUGGAUGUAUGUGGACCAUUCUCCAUUAAGAAUAUCUCCCAAGAAUCGAUCUGGUUGAGGUUGUUCCCGUUCUCUUUGAUACGAGAAGCGUACAAGUGGCUGACUAAAUUGCCACGUGAAUAAAUCACUUUGUAGGAGGAGUUGGUUAUCGCAUUUCAAGUGCAAUUUUCCCCUCCCGCGAAGAUGAUAACUUUUCGAGACAAUAUUCAGAGCUUCAAGAGUCUAGAAGGCGAGCCAAUUCAUGAAACUUGGCUACGAUUCAAAAAGUUGGUGCUUCAAUGCCCAACCCAUGGCUUGUCUAAUAACGUGUUGAUGCAGUAUUUUUAUCGGAGUCUCUACUUAGUAAACAAGGGUGUUGCUGACCAACUUUCUCUAGGAGGUUUGACACAGCAACCUUAUGUGAUAGUGGCUCAGCUCUUGGAUGGCAUGACUACUAUAAACAGGGCGUGGUACACCCGUGAAGACCAGGUCUCCCUUCUAACGUUCAAGUUGACGAAGGAAUAGAUGGAAAAGGACCAAGAGAGGGACCAGAACAUGGCCAAAAUCAUGACACAAAUUGACAUUUUGUUUAAAAAGGACAUGGGAAUUGGUGCUCGAAAUGUCAAUGUCGUGGGUGUUGGGUGUGCUAAUCCAGAUGAGUCCAAGUUUGAUGCCUUGUAUGAUGAAGAAGUGAAUUUCCUAAGCAACCAAGGUGGUGGUUAUCGUUCAAACUACCCGUGGUAAGGUGGUAACCAAUAUUGAAAUAGGGAUGAAGUUUGGAAAGAUCGAGAUCGUGAAUGGAGGGACCGUAAUCCAAAUUAGAAGGAUGUGGAGAAUGAUAGGUAUGUGCUUCCCCACGAGCACCAAAACCCAAAGGAUUCGGAAGGUGGUCGGUUUAAGGAUAUGCUUUCUCGUAUCCUCAACAAAGUUGAAAGGUCGGACAAGAUCCUGAAAGAGAUGAAAAAAGACGUGUCAACCCUUGGCCAGACCGUCACCUCCCAUUCAGUGUCGAUCAAGCAAUUGGAGACCCUAAUGGGUCAUAUCUCAUCUUAUCUAACCCCGAGACAGCAAGGGGGGUUGCCUAGUGACACUAUGGUCAACCCCAAGAAUAAGGUUUGAAGGUGGACUUGCGUCGUGCCACGACGUUAACUAAGGUGUUGCUUGGGAAGCAACCCAAGUUUUUUUUUUAAGUUUGCAAUAAUGGUGUGUUGAAUAUGCAGGACAUAGUGUGGAAAGUGAGUGAAAAGUUCAAAUUAGCGAGCCAAAGGUCCAGUCAGCGUAUCACUAAAGAGGUCGACGACCCCGACCUAGACCGCCGUUGGACUCAAGAGAACUUUAAAGUGGAGUCUGUAAAACUCGGUGAGCCCAAGUAAUUAUUGGUGAAUCGCCGACCAGAUCGGUGAUCGCGAUCUAAUCUGCCGAGUGGAUCCUCACAACAACUGAAAGUACUGUAAAACUCGACGAGGUAAGUGACCACUCGACGUGUCGCUGAGUGGUUCAGCGAGCAUGACUAAUGUCACCGAAUGAGCAAAAACUGGACGAUUUUUAAAAGGCCAAAGGUUUAAACUUCCGAACUCUUUACUUUCCCUCACUUUUAAUCCUCCCAAACUCUCACCUAUAGUAUUUUCAGUAUUUUUGAAUUCUAUAAGUAUUUUAGCUGUUGAUUUGUGCUCGGGAUUGGGAAUACUUUGCCGCCUAGCAGUUCAAUAUCAAUUUAAUCGGCAUAAAAUAUUGGUUUUCUAAACCUCGAGUUUAUUUUUAUCAAUGUUGUACUAAUUUGCAAAUGAUAUUAUCUUAUUGAAGUGUGAUGGGCAUCUCUGAUAGGAUUAGAAUGUUUGAAUGCCUAUUUUAAUUUGAUAAUCUUUGCGUAAUGUUUUAAGUGUUGAAAUCCCGUAUUUUUGUGCCUUAAAAUCGGUUAAAUCUUUUGAGGUUUUGCUUGCAUGUUGUUGAGUCUAGUCGGGUGAAGUCUAAGUAAUUCGUGUUUGUGCCAAAUGACGUACUUUUCCCAAUAAUAGAGCAGGUGACGUCAUUCUUCAGGGCAAAAGUCGUCAAAUGGCCAAAUUUGGUAAAAUCGGGAGAAGUGUAAGUAUCCUGAAGUAAUAGGUGUUGUGGGUCUUGCGUUAAUUUGACUAGUGCAUGCUUUGAUUUUGUUGGGGGUUGCAGGGUUGAUUUUGAGAAGUUGGGUUGAAAGUAGGCACGUGGGUCGUUUGGUGAUCUGGGUCUAGUUCGUCGAACCACUCGGCGGUUCGCCAAAAUUUCCCAACUCGCCUUUAAUUUCUUGCUAAAUGAGUAGUUUGGCUCUGUAACUUUCGACGAGAAGCUUGAGGUCGCCAAAAACACUCGGCGACUCGCCGAAAGUCUUUUUGAUCUCUUUUUUAUCUGCACUCCUGAGCCUUUUUGCACUGUCACUUUUGGCGGGCUAGCUCUUGCUCGUUGAAAGUUGUCGGCGAUUCACCAAAAGGCCCAUCCCAUCGCCGACUUGCUAAAAUUUUUGAGCCAAUCCUUUCGACCAGCCCAACCUAGCUCGCCAAAGAGAUUCGAUGACUGGUUCGGCGAGUCUGUCUGCAACUAUUUUUCUAUGGUUUUGUUUAAAGGUUUUCUAACUUUUUCCUGAUGUUUUGUUGAUAUGGUAAAGACCAAUAUUUUCAUGCCGCCCCAGAAAACAGCACGGGAUAUCACAAUAAAUGAAGGGAGAUCAAAUCCUCCCUUAAAGGAAAGACAAGAACCUCUACCUGGAGAUAAAGGCAAGGGUAAGAGGCCUAUUUCUGAUGGGAGACUACUCCCCGAGGCCCCUAUAUUCCUUUAUGGGUUCGGGGAUUCUAUGUAGCUAUGCAGGCCUUUUUAGCGGAUACACCCUUAGCAGCUCCUAGUGGGUCUGGAAUUGCUGUUUCUUCUAAGGUGACUUCGGGUAUUGAGACCUAGGACCAGAGUGAUGCACUGGGGACUGAUGCCCAGACAGAUGGAGCGACUGUGUAGAUCAGACCCCUUUUUUACCUCCCUCUUUAUCUUACUUUAUUUCACUUUUGGCUAUUUUUGUUUGCAUUUGAGGAAAAAUAUUUUAUUUGUGGUGGGGUGAGACCCACUUUUUUGUGAUUUUGUGACUUUCUAGUUUUGUUUAUACAUUUGGGUUUCCGAGCCAUAAUUCUUAUUUUACACUAUUUUUGUGGAUGUUUGAGCUUGUGGCUCCGUGUUUUUUAAAUUGUAAAUGUUUUUUGAGCCUCCCGAAAAUUUUUGCCACAUCUUGUUUGUGUUGAAUGUGGUUGUUCUUUUACAAAUUUGAGUAUCAAUUUUGAUCAAUACCGAUGACUUGAAUAGUGCUCUCAAUCGAACAAAUAUGAAUGUGCGGCUACGAUAAGGCCAAAUAAAGUUGCAUAGGCAAUAUGUCAACUUUUUUCAUCUCGUUAUGACUAGCCAAGUAUCAAAUUGAGUCUCUUGUGAUGAACAUUGCACACUAGUGAAAGUGUGGAGUCUUGUUUGUCAUUGGUGUCAAUGUCUUGUGUGAUGAGCUUACUGUGAACCAUUCAUGAUGACACCUAGAAUUUGCCUCGUUUGUCCGGUUAACUAAGUGAUGCAAUCUCUUUAUAUGAUCUUAGGCAAUGUUGAAGAGUGUGAAACAAUUUGACAUAUACCUUUUUGUGGCUUACCUUGUGAGUGUGCGACCCUUGCUUGAACACCAUUUGAUCCUUGACCUUUUCUUGGAAGAAACUUGAUGAAAUUGUGACCUUUCUUUAUCCAUUACCCAUAAUCCUCAUGAAUUGUGGUUAGAUUGAAUAGCCAACUUAGGCCAAAAGCCUAAGUUGGGGGUGUGGUGAAAAGACAAGGUAAAUCAAGAAGUGCAAGAAAGUCUCAUUUUACCCAUACUUUGAAAAAAAUGAAACCCUUCCAUACAAAAGAAAAAUGAAUGAAAAAGAAAAAGAAAAAAAGAGUUGUGGAAUAAAGUUGUGAAAAUGCAAAUAGAAAUGGGGUAUCCAACAGUCUAUGGAAUGUGAAUAAUGGGAUGACUUGUGAGCACAAAUGAAAAAUGAUGAAGAAAGGAAAUGAAGUGUUGUUCACACCACAUUUCAAGAGGACUAUAGCCAUUGAGCCUAAAUGACCAUACCUUUGCAUUCAGCCCCGUUACAAGCCUUGAAAAGACCUUUUUGAUCUUGAGUGAGCUGAUGCUAGUGCUGAUUGGAAAAAUACGGGCAAACAUAUGGGUGAAGUCAUCCAUUGUGUUUAUCUUUGUGAGUGUGAGCGUUGCAUUUGAUUCCAGAGGCUUAAAUUGUGAACCAUUGUGAGUGGAUAUGGAAUCAUUUUUUGUGUGAGGGCAUUUGAUUACCUUUGUUGAGCUUGAACUUGCAUUUGAAGCGAGUAUUGUGAGCUUGAGAUUAUUUGAUAAUGGUGAGUCACAACUUGAAACUUUGAGUGAACAUUUGAUCCUUGCAUGAGUAAGUUGAGUCUUUUGUGUGCAUUCAUGAUUGAGUCUUGUGUAGCACUGUUUGAGACAUCCUUUUUGAACUACUAAACUUGAAUUUUACUUGAGGACAAACAAAAGUUUAAGUUGGGGUAUUGAUGAGUCCACGAUUUGGACUCAUUUAGGACUUUAUUUUAAUAGAUUUAGUGUUCUCAAAUGCAUAUUUGGUACCAAUAACUGAUGUAAAUCCCUGAAUUUCAGGUAUUUGGAUUGAGGAACAAAGUAUGGACACUAUUGAGCAAAAAGGAAUAAGACAGCUGAAAGAACGAAGGAAAGAAGGUCUGAGGAUCGCCUAACCCAGGGUCUCGCCUAAUGUUCUAGAGUGCCAAGCCGUGAAAGAGAUAAUCUAGUCGGCGAGAGAAAGAAGUAGUCGGCGUGUCACCGAAUGGUUCCGCGAUGCAGUGCCAUAUCGCCCAAAGUUACAGAACCUGAAGAUGCUGAAGGCAAAAGCAAAACGGCGAUGAAAAUUACCAAAGGGCUGAUCGCCGAUUGGAUCAGAGAUACCGACUAACUGCGCCGACUGAACCUCCGCAACACACUUUUUGACAACUAUAAAUACUUGUUUAAAUUUUUAGUGUAGUAUAUGAUCUAUUAGGGAAUCAUAAUAUUUUUCAGUUUUUGAAGUUGAGAGCUUAGAACUGAAUAGGGAGACAAUAUUUCCUUAGCUUUGAAGAUUUUCAUUUCUCAGAAAUUGGAAGUGGGUGUUGAAGAUUCUUCAUCUUAGACCUUUGUAAAGACUAUAUCAACCCUACCCAGUUGAUGAAAACGCAACUUGGUAACGAUUUUUACCUUUUUACUAUGUCUAGCUAAAACCCCAAUUCUUAGGGUGUGAUUAUGUGAUUAUGGGUUGAUUUAACUACUGGAUAUUGUUAAUUGAUAGUUUAUUUGCUGUUUAAAAGUGAUUUCGUUCAGUAAUUAUAGUUGAAUUUAAUUGGUUGUAGUUGCAAAUACAACCUUAACUUUGUGUUUUGGCUUGCUCGAGAGAGAGAGGGGUUUUAAAAUCAAAAUUACUGAAUCAAUGGUCUAUGGGUAUUGGGUUGUCAUGGGUUUAGCUCGAGAGAGUGAACCCUAAAUCCUUUUCCACACAUUCAGCUCGAGAGAGUGAAUGGACUAAAGCGAAGGUUGUGCUUCAUUGCUACUUAUUGGUGUUCGAGAGAAACCAAUUUGAUUCGGGGUAAAUUGUUCGAGAGAAAGUUUACGCCCACUAAAAUCUAGCUUAUUCACUAAUUUGUAGUUGUUUACUAUUAAUUUCAAUUACCCGGUUGUUUACCUUAGCCCAUAAUCCAAUCACAUCCCAAGAAUCUCGUCUCCAUAUUCGUAUUUUCGUGUUAUUUGUUGUUUUAGUUGAUAAUACGAACAAGGCCCCUAUUGAUAUGACACUUGUGUCACCUAAAAUUUAAACCAUGCUUUUAUUCGUAAAUGUUUUUAGCUAUGAUUGACUAGAGCAUAUUCUUACUUUUCUAUUGAUUCUUGAGUACGAACCACUCCCUUGGAACUCGACCCCAACUGACUAGUUGGGUUAUAUUACUAUUGAACGAUCGUUGAUGCUUAGUAUUGGAUGAAAUAUCUUUGAUAGAGUUACACUUUAUCAAACUUCAAUACACAAAUUUCAUGGACAAAAUUAAAUCAAGAAACUCAUGAUUGGUGUAAGGGUGAACGAACCCAUCACUUUGAAAGCUUACAUACCUCAUAAGGAUCAAAUCCUUGGCAAAAUUUCUCGAAGAUCGCAAGAAUCUUGAACGAACGCUUGAACUUCUCUUUUUCCUCCUCUUGAACUUCUCUCUGAAAUCCUAAGCGUGUUUAGGAAUUGUGAAAACUGAUCUCAAUCAGUUUAGACCCCUAUUUGGGUAACCAAAACAUUUAAAGCUAAUGGGGUAAGAAAAAGACCAAAAUACCCCUCCUUAUUUUGGAUUAAUUUCCUUAAUCGAACAAGCUAAACUAAAAUGGGCAUAUCUUCCUUAUCCGAACUCGAAAUUUAGCAAAUUGGUGGUUUUGGAAAGAGGACUUAAAAAUCUUUCAUCUGAUAUCUCUUGGGCCACCUAACUCAUCUUCUGCCGGAAGUUAUGGUCAUUUUAAGUUGACCCAAAACUCACAAUUGAAGUCUAACUUGCACCAAUCUCAAAUUAGCUCUUUCGAAUUUAGUUUUUUCUAAAAUUAGCUCUUUCUAUGACUGAGGUGUUACAGAUACUCUUCAAGAAGAAGAAGUUUCAACAACCCUUCAUACAUAUGAUAAUAUAUAUACUUUCUCCAUUUCAAUUUGUUUGUCUGAUUUAAACUUGAUAUCGAGUUUAAGAAAGUAAAUAAUAUUUUCCAAUCUUGUGGUCUUAAACUUAAGAUAGAUAGAAUGUACUAAACUGUCUUUUAAUCUUGUGGUCUCAACAUAUCACCUGGAAACAGGGCUGAGCAUAAAAUAUCAAAAACUGAAUUACCGAAUUGAAUCAAAAUUUUGAUAAUUUAGUAUCCGAUAAUUCGGUAUUUGGUAUGGUAUUUGAGAGUAAGAUUUUAAAAUUAUGAUAUUUGAGUUUGGGUUUGGUAUGCGACAUUAAUACCAUUUGCGAUUUGGUAUUUCCUGAAUAUCGAAUUAUUUAGUAAAAAUUAGGGUCCACCCCAUAUAGCUAUUAUAAGUUUAUAGCCCAUAUAUAUUGUGUAUAUAAUUAGCCCAAUAGAUUAUACUCAUAUAAUAGCAUAAAAUAUAAAAAUUAUGUACUAGGCUUAGGGCAAAAGUCUUUUGAUUCUUUGGAGUUUAUAACUUGUUAACGUAGCCUACAAAGUAAUAACUUACGGCAAAAAAUCAUUCAUCAAUCAUCAUGCUUUCAGGACUCACGUGACGCAAGAAUCAAGAUCUUGUCCAUUUUAAAUUUCAAUCUUUUACAGUUUAUGGUACCAAUCUUCAUUGUAGCCAAGGUAUGAUAACAAUUUUAUCUUAUAUUCCUAUUAGUUCUAAGCUUAUGUCUAAACUCAUCGCUAGGGGCAGUAUAUAUAGUUUUUUUCCCAUAUAUUUCCUCUUCAUUAUGUUAUUACUUCCGUCGUCAAAUCUUUAAUUCGAAAAAAAAUUAAGAUAACAUAUUGAUUUUCUCUUACAAAUUUUGCUUAGAUGGAAGAUGAGUCAAGUCAAACAAUUGGCGGGGCUACAUGUAAUAGCACACCUAUUAUUAAGUCCCUCAAUUUAAUACCGAAAAAUAAUCAAGUCACAAUGAAGAGGAAAUCCAUGAUACUCAGCAUUAUUCUAAAAUCCUCUCCAAUUUGAGCUUAACUUUUUCUAUUCAUAUUUGCUCAAAUCCUCUCCUAUUUCUUUUCAAAUUUCUCAACAUAGAGACAUCAAUUGGAUAUACAAGAGAGAUUUUUCUUUUUCUUAAUUUUCUUGUGACAAACAAGAGACUUUAUUAAAGAAAAUAAGACAAGGGAAAAUAUAUUAAUUUAAAGAUAUAUACAAAUCUCAUGUUCAAUUGUCAAUAUCAAUAUAAAAUCUGUCUAUUUAAUCUCAAUCAAACAAUUGGGCACUCACUGAUUGUACAAUACACUAAAAGAUAAUACAAUACACAACUUGAAACAAUUGAACGAACACUGCAAAAACUGAUUGUACGUUAGGCUAUGUAAAGUGUAUUAUAAACUUGAACUUAUUUUUAAUUCAUACAGGCUUCGAGUAUCAUGUGCUUCUAUUUUUCUCAUUUUCGUUUAGUUUUACUCCCACCUUGUGCCUCCAAAUAACAAGGUUAAAAGAUCCACCAUUAAAAAUAUAAAACGUUGGGCCGGUGCUAAGCAUGAACAUGUUUAUCUAGUUCUUCUAUAAAGAAUAUUAAAUAAGAGGUAUUCAACUAAUUUAUCUUCAUUUAUUUUAAUAUUUUUUACCUAAUUUGACAAAUAAAUAUAAAAUUUAAAUUAAAUUAUUGAAUUCGAUCGAACUCAUAUUCAGCACUCUAACUUUGCCACUAUUUGUAACUUUUAACAAACUAACCAUUUCCUUCAAACUACUUUAUUUCCCCCUUUUUGAAGAUUGGUAAGCCUUGUGUCACCAACUUAGAGUCUCUCUAAAGCUUCGUGCGGCACUCAACAACUAACUCACGAAUCUUUCACAGUCUUGUAAGCUCAAGUAAGUGCUUGAAACUAAGAUCGCUAAGAGAAUGACACUUGGCUACUUUUUUUACCAUGUUUUUUGCUAUUAUUAAUAUUAAAAAUAAGACAGAUAAUUUACUAUAACGACAAAUUAAAAGAUAAUAAUGAUAAAAUCUAGUUUGAAUUUUUUCGCUAUUAUAUUAUAAGUGAAUGUAAUCAACAUAUGAUCUUCAAUAUUAAAUUUAUAAUGUCAAACAGAUUAAAUUUAAAUCUUGAUAUUCUACAUUUAAAAAAAAUUAUUUUUACAUUGUUAAACUCAUUAUUUUUUUUCAUUAUUAUUAUGAUCAUUUGAUCAUGAAAUUCUAUUGUAUAGUCUCAUUUUCAAUCUGUGAUUUAUUUGAUAGGGACAUUGUACUGGCUUAUCACGUGCAAACGAUUAGGAAUAUUUAUUUAUUUUAUAUUAUAGAAUUUUAACCUAACUUUUAGGUGUAAAUUUAAAUUAAUCAAAUUUUAAAAGAAAUGGCACAAAUCCCCAUGACAAGUGUAGCAUAUUUCAAAUCACAAUGGACUAUUUUUACUAAUUGUGUUUGAACAUAUUAUUUUCGUAUCCAAUUCAAGAGUUCAUUGUUUUAAUUGUUAAUUCAAUUAUUGAAAAUAGGUGAAUGAAAUUUGAUUUUUCGUUUUUUCUUCUGUAUAAAAAAAAAUUCGCUUAUUUGGUGUUAUUUAACUUAAAAAGUCAUUAUUCUAUUCAUUUUUUUUUAAUGGAAAUAUGGUUUGUAGAGGCUGCGUUUGGACGAAAGACCUGCUGGUUUCGAUGCAACCAGAUAUGCCAUAGUGCGAAAGGGAAGAAAUCUUUAGAGUAUAGCACCUUUGAUUUAGAGGAGUUAAUUUUUUCUCCUGAGAGAGUGCAGAAAGCGGAUAGCACGCGAUAAAUUGUGUGGAUCGUUUAAUGAUAUUUACAUUUGACACUUGAUUUUUUAAUUAAAGAAUAAAAAAGUUAUUCAUUUUAAUCAAAAAUUUCAUUUCUGACUCUUUAUGAUCCAAAAUUAGGUCACGAAAUCAAGACGUGACGUGUUCAUAUUGCUAAAAAAUUAUUAUUUGUUGAUAGAAAAAAAGAAUUUCCUCAACAUAUUAACGUAUUUUAAUGAUAAGGUAUUUGUUCGAUUUUAAUUAAAAUAUGUUUGAUUUAAUGUUUUACUUAAAAAUCAGAUGUGCUUACAUCAUUAAAAAGUAAUUUAAUAUAUCACUUUUCGAUAUGAAUGACCUUUUGGGUAAAAUAACUACAAAAAAGUGACUUUUAAUUUCUUUAGAAAGAAAAACUAAUAUUUUGAGCGAAAUCGCAAAAAUAUAAAUUAUUUAUUAACUUAUUUUUAAUAAUUCAAUUUUCAAUAUUAAAAUCUUUAGUCACUCAAGUCAACCAAAAAAAAACCUUAUUUGUACUACUAAAAUUGCUCAUGCGCAAUUACAAGUGUACCCUUAGAAAUUCAAAGUAUUAUAACAUAUAAUUAAUUAGCUUGAGACUUUUCAACAUAAAGAGAAACUAAAACAAGAUCUGAAACAAUUAAGCAUCAAAAACUUCAUCUUGACUCAUUCUUGGAUAGCUUAAUCACCUGAAAUUAAUUAACAUAAUACAACAUUAGGAAUGUGUUCAUAAAUAAAAGAGUGGAUCAAAAUCUUAAACGAUAGAUAAAAAUGAUUGACGAUGACUUACUUGCACACCCUUGCAGGGGGUACUGACAUCACAAUAAGCUUCGAGAGUGAUCAAGAUUUGAUUGUCCAAAUCCUCAGCAUACUUAUAGCAAGGACAACUAGUCCUGAGUAUCUUCCUGAAUAUUGGGCAACAUGCAUCGAUUGAAGUUGUCUCGAACAUGCAUGUCUUCACUUGUUGUUGGUCACUAGCCGAGCAAGUCGUUGCCGGGGAGGGAGGUGGUGGUGAUCUUGGUGGUGAGCUCGGUGGUGGAGGUGGUGGUGAGCAUGGUCGUGGUCUAGGUCUAGGUCGUGGUCGUGGUCGUGGUCGUGGCCUUGGCCUUGGAGGAUGGCAUGGUUGUGGCCAAGGGUGUGGCCACGACAAAUGUUGACAUAGAAAGUCAAAUGGGGAUGAGCCUAGUGACUCACUUCCCUCAUCGACCAAGGCGACUUCUUUCGCCAUGGUCAGUUGGUGGUUGUUGCAAAAUAAAAUUGCAGUCACCACUAACAUCAUGAGCAUCUUCAUAAUUGCCAUUUUUUACUAAUUAAGUGUUUGUACUAUGAAGAGAUAUCAACCAUCUAUAUAUAUACAAAAAUAAUUUUAUAGAGUUAGUUGAGAUAAUUCAAUGUCAUAUAGAUCCACUUGCAUAAAAUAUUAUUUCUUCAAAAAAUGACUAAUUAAGUCCAUUCCUAAUGGAUCAUGUCUGAUAUUUUUUCAAUAAAGUACAUAUUAUUUUUAAAAUUAUUGCAUAUAUAUAUAUAUAAAAGAAAUAUUAUCCACAACAAUUUCACUAUAAUAGUUACGUUUUUUAAGAGUUGAUUUUUCAUGUUAUUCAGUAUAAUAUAUUUUUUUUAUAUUAGAAACAUUUUGUUGUAAAAAUUAAAAAUUAUCCAGACAAACAAUGUUAGAACAAGUUAUGUUUAAAAAAAAACAUUUUCUUAAUUAAUUGAAUUUUACAAAUUUAUGAAAAACAAAUUAGCCAAAGAAUUAGGUAAAUCUAACAAAAAAGUAGUAGUAAAUGACACAUUAUUUUUACAAAAGUCAAAUAUUUAAAGUUAAUUUAAUCUAUAGUUACGGAUUAUAGCCAUGGAAUGAACAUGAAAAAUAAUAAAAUUUUAUGAAUGAAAACUUAAAAUACUUCUAAGUCUGUUUUUCAAACUUUAAUUAUUAUUUUCAAGUUAAAAUUGAAAUUAUAGAAUAAAUUAACAAUAACAAUAAUUUUGUCUUAACCCCAAAUAAAUUAGGACCGAUAUCUAAAUCUACUUUUUCUUUUAAAUUUAUUUCAUAAAUAUCAUCAUUUUACAUAAUAAAAGUUUAAUAUAUAUAUAUAUAAAAUAACCAUAACUCUGAUAAUCAAAGAUUAAAAUUUCUAUAACAAUGUAUUUUCAACUAGUAGAUAUUUUCAUUGUAUCUUUCAUUAAGUUUGCAUCAAUAUAAAUACAAAUUAUAGUUAUUGAAAUAAAAUAUCCUUUCAUACAAUUUUACAUUUAGAAGUGUAAUCUCUUUCGUAUCCCGUUUAGAUUUCUAACCGACUUACUUAGUAGGUCAGGCUGAAAAAAAAGGCCAAAUUCUUUACGAAAUUGAAUUUAAGUAAAAAAUAUUUUUCUAAUUAUCAAAAUUUUAGACUUACAAAUUAACACAAUUUUAAAUCGAUAUAUCGAAUAUUAAUUUUUUAAAAUUUUUUAUAAUAAAAAUCUUGAAUCUGCCGCUAAAUAAUACUAGUGAAUAUUAUAGUAUAUGUACCCAAAUUCAAUUGGGAUUUCCAAUUAUUAUGUUCCAAAAUUUUCUCAUCCUUUCUCAAGAUUAUCAAGUCCACGUAAUUUUAUUUUUUUUUGACAAAAAUGUCAAAUUUUUAUUAAUAAAAACACAAUAUUAUAGGAUCUGAAAUUAAGCAUUAAAAAUACUUCAUCAUCCUUGGAUAGCUUAAUCGCCUGAAAUUAUUAAUUAAAAUAAUGCAAUAUUAGACAUGUAUAUUAUUCAUAAUCUUGAAUAGUAAUUUUUGCUAAUAAAUAUAAAAAUGGUAACUUAAUUACUUGCACACUAUUGCAAAGAUUAUUAACGUCACAAUAAGAUUCGAGAGUGAUUAGGACUUGAUUAUCUAAAUCCUCAGCAUACUUUUGGCAAGGGCAACUAGUGCCAAGUAUGCUAUUAAAUGUGGGGCAACAUUCAUCAAUUGAAGUUGUGUUGAACAUGCAAGUCUUCACUUUUUCUUGGUCACUAGCCAGGUAACUUGGUUUUGGGGGAGGGCACUGUAUUUAGAAAUGAAAGAAUCAUUUUACUAAUUCGAAGAAUAAUUUAAAUUAGAAUUUUAAAAAAUAGAAAUAUUAAUUUUAGAGAAAAGAAUCUGAAAAAUACUUCAACUUUGAUCUAAAUUGUUGUUACGAUACCAAACUUUGGAAAGGACCUUUUACCCCUUUACUAUUUAAUAGUGUAUUUUAAAGGUAUAUAUGUGCCUACGUGAACAUCAUAAAUAUUUCAUCAAAUUAAAUAGUAAUGUAUCCACGUGGGCACAUAUAUAUCUUUAAAAUACACUAUUAAAUAGUGCAGGAGGUAAAAUGUUCUUCAUAAAGUUUGAUAUCGUAACAACAAUUUCAGCCAAAGUUAAAAUAUUUUUCAUACCUUUUUCCCUUAAUUUUAUUAAUUCUUGAAUUCCAUCCUUACUAUUUAAAAAGAUAUAAUCAUAUUAAAAUAAACGUCAAGAGUGAUCAAGACUUGAUUAUCCAAAUCGUCAGCAUAAUUAUAGCAAGGGCAACUAGUCCCAAGUGUACUCUUGAAUAUGGGACAACAUUCGUCAAUUGGAGUUGUGUUAACAUCAUAAAUGAUUUGUGGAGACUAUAAAAUAAAAUUGUUGCAACCAUUAACAUCAUAAACAUCUUUCAUGAUUUUACUUAUUUUUGAGUGAUUAAAUGAUUUGUGUCCUAUAAUAAAGAGAUAUGACCAAUCUAUAUAUAUGUGAAUUUUUUGAAAUUACUGAUGUGGUAGGUGUGGCUUUAACAAAGUGGAGAAAAGUAGCAUAUGAUUAUCAUGUUUUUUACGAUUUAGAGCGAAUAUAUUUAUCAUUAAAAAGUAGUGCAUAUAUACUCAUUUAUCGUCCAACAAACGAAGUAGAUUUACUCUUUUCAUUAACUGAUAUAUUUACUAGAUUAAAAAAGUAUAUUCCAAAAAGGACAUUUUUCUUAAUUCAAUAUCACAUGAUACACAGAGACAUAAAAAAAAAAUACUUUUUUGACUACUUUGAAAUAGAUGAUUAAUUAGUUUGUUAGUUCAUUAGUUUAUUAUUCAUACAAAUAUCUCUAUUUUGAGAGGUCAUUAAUUUAUGUUCUCAAAUUUGAUCGUCUUGAAAUUUUGUUCUUUAUAACUUUAUUAAGUAAAAAAUAAGUAUCAAAAUUAUGACUGAUGUUGAAAUAAUAUUUUGCCUGACAUUAGUUUUAUAUAUAUAUAUAUAUAUAUAUAUUUGUAUGAUAAUAUAACACAAGUCACGCCUCUUGAUUUCUAUGUGCUAUAUCGAUCAAAACAAAUGUUCAUUUCACACCCACAAAUUAUCGUGACAGUGAUAUAUAUAGUUCCUAAGAAUUAUGUCAAAUUAGGUAAAAAGUGGAUAACUUAAUUUAUUCCAAACUUAUAAUGGAUAAGGCAAAAAUCUUUAAAUUUGUGUGGUGCAAACUCAAAUAAAAGUACUUUGAUCAAUAAUUUUUUAUUAAUUAAAUAGUAAAUAUAAAAAUUAAUGACCAUCUCAAAAUAGGAGCGAUCCGUGCAAUUUUUUUUAUCCUUCUUCAAUAUCCUCACAUAUAAUGUGUAGAUAUACCAUGUGUUGAAAUGAUAACAUUUUCCUAUCAUAAUAUGACGGCUAGGGUUAGCAAUGAAUCUUAACAAUUUGAUUGGUUGAUUAUUAAAAUUUUCACCUGGUUAACGAGAACUCAAUUCAUCUUAUAAUCUCCUCAUCCAUUUUCCCUUUCUCUAAAAGAAAAGAGUUAAAUUCUAAAAUUUAACUUCAAGUUGAAUUUCGAAAUUUAUGACUAAAUUCAAAUAUAUAUUUCAAAAUUUGACUCCGAAAAAUAUGAAACAUUUUAUGAUCAAACACUUCCUAUAGUUAUAUUGGUUGCUUUUAAAUCACAUGAGUAAAAAAGAUAGACUUUUUUUCCCACGAUGUAAUAUUCACUUUUGAAUUCGAUUAAUUUGAAUUUCAAAUUUUUACUUUUGGAAUAAAAAGUUGUAUAUUAAAAGUGAUUUUUAUUCCUCAACCACAAAGAUAAAGAUAAAAAAUCAUUGUCUUGUAAACAAAAAAAGUUCAUUGCCUUCUUGUGAUUGUCAAGUUACUAUUGUUGUUUAAUAGAAGAAACUUUUUUGUCUUCCUUCUGUGAGUUGUCUUUUUAUGAAAAAAAUAAUAUCUGAGGUUAUGGCCAAUAAUAAAAUCGAGGGUGAUGUAUUGGUGAAACUAUUUCACUUUUGAUUAGAUUUAUCGGGUUCGAGUCUUAGGUAUGAUUAUAUUUUGUUGGAAGCGUUAAUCCUGAAUAAAUUCUGCAGUGCGCAAUUUGAAUUUAAUCAGAGUUCCAAAAAAAAAAACAAAGGUGGAUCUAGGGGUCGUGAAUGUGUUUAUCCAACCUCCUCGAUAAAUAAACUUGAAAAUAUAUAAGAUAAUUUUAUAUAUAAGAGUAGAGUCAAGUGAAUUUAAAAAACAUCUUAAGGUUUUAAUAUUAUAUUAAGUUUUUAAAUUUUUUUUAAUGAAAAUCUUGAAUCCGCUACUGUAUAAUAUGAGUGAAUAUUAUAGUAUACCUACCCAAAUCCAAUUGGGAUUUCCAUUUUUUAUGUUCCAAAAUUUUCUCAUCCUUUCUCAAGAUUAUCAAGUCCAUGUAAUAUUUUUUUGACAAAAAUGUCAAAUUUUUAUUGCUAAAAACACAAUAUUACAAGAUCUGAAAUUAAGCAUUAAAAACACUUCAUCUUCACUCUUCAUCCUUGGAUAGCUUAAUCACCUGAAAUUAUUAAUUAAAAUAAUGCAAUAUUAGACAUGUAUAUUAUUCAUAAUCUUGAAUAGUAAUUUUUUCUAAUAAAUAUAAAAAUGAUAACUUACUUGCACAGUGUUGCAAGGAUUAUUAACGUCACAAUAAGAUUUCGAGAGUGAUCAGGACUUGAUUAUCUAAAUCCUCAGCAUACUUAUAGCAAGGGCAACUAGUGCCAAGUAUGCUAUUAAAUGUAGGGCAACAUUCAUCAAUUGAAGUUGUGUUGAACAUGCAAGUCUUCACUUUUUCUUGGUCACUAGCCGGACAACUUGGUUUUGGGGGUGGGCUCUGUAUUUAUAAAUGAAAGAAUCAUUUUACUAAUUCGAAAAUUAAUUUUGAUUAGAAUUUUUAAAAAUAGAAAUAUUAAUUUUAGAGAAAAUGAUAUGAAAAAUACUCUAAUUUUGGUCGAAAUUGAUGUUACGAUACCAAACUUUGGAAAUGACCUUUUACCCCUGUACUAUUUAAUAGUGUGCCUACGUGGAUAUCAUAAAUAUUUCAUCAUUUUAAAUAGUAAUGUGUUCACGUGGACACAUAUAUACCUUUUUAAUACACUAUUAAAUAGUGCAUGAGGUAAAAUGUCCUCCAUAAAGUUUGGUAUCGUAACAACAAUUUUGGCUAAAGUAGAAGUAUUUUUCAGACCCUUUUCCCUUAAUUUUAUUAAUUCUUGAAUUCCAUCCUUACUAUUUAAAAAGAUAUAAUCAUAUUAAAAUAAUUUUUUUAAUGAUAUAGAUAAAGAUGAUAACUUACCCUACAAGGGGUAACAACAUCACAAUAAGCUUCGAGAGUGAUCAAGACUUGAUUGUCCAAAUCCUCAGCAUACUUAUAGCAAGGGCAACUAGUGCCAAGUAUGCUUUGGAAUGUUGGACAACAUUCAUCAAUUGAAGUUGUGUUGAACAUGCACUUCUUCACCUUUGCUUUGUCACCUGGCGAACAAGUUGUUGCCGGGGCGGGAGGGGGAGGGGGAGGGCUUGGUGGUGGAGGUGGUGGUGAUCGUGGUGGUGGAGGUGGUGGACAUGGUCGUGGUUUUGGAGGAGGGCAUGGAUAUGGUCGUGGAAAGGGAAAUGGCCAUGGUAAAUAACAUGGAAUUUCCCAUGGCCAUAAUUUUAACUUGUUUCCAUCCUCGACCACGUCCACAUUCACAACGACUUCUCUUGCCACGACCACUUGGUGGUGGCUGCAAAACAUAAUUGCAGCCACCACUAACAUCAUAAACAUCUUCAUAGUUGCCAUAUUGUGAGUGAUUUGUGUCAUAUAGUGAAGAUAGAUAUAACACAUCUAUAUAUACUAUCAAAUUAUUAUGAUUAACAUAUGGUAGGUAUGCUUUCAAUUUAAUAUAAAAAACAGCCAUCAUUUAUUGGUCUUGUUUGAUAGUACUUCUUUUUGAAAUAAUACUUAUUAUUUUAUGCACCACAUUAAAGAUGUUGUAAUAUUAUAUUUCUUUAUGCAACCACAUUAAAGUUAUAUGAUACUUGCUCAGUUUAGAAAAUAGAGAAAUAAUUUAUCCGUUUAUAUCUAUUUUAAUUAUCCUUUAAUAUCUAAUACUUCAUCCGUUUAUAAAAGAAUGAUAUCCUUUCCUUUUUAAUCUGUUUCAAAAAGAAUGACCUCUUUCUUCUUUUGGUAUUGUUUUAAUUUCAGCUUUUCACGUGGAAUGUUUAAAGCCACAAGAUUGAAGGACAAUUUAGUACAUCUGACAUAACUUUAAUUUAGGACCACAAGAUUCAAAAAUCUUUUUUAUUUUCUAAAACUCUAUGCCAAGUCAAAUCAUGUUACUCUUUUUGAAACGAGUGAGUAUUACAUUUCUCAAAAUAUUAAAUAUAAUAUAUUUAAACGGUAAUAUAAUAAUACUAAUUUUAUUAUUUAUUAUUUCUUUAUGAUGUGGGGCCAGAGAGAGUAUUAUAAUAGGAUGUGGAUCCCAAACAAUUAUGUCCCCUUAAUUUUUAAAUUUGAAAAAUAAUCAAUUAACAUUAAUUCGUAAACUCUAUGAUUUGCAUUAUUGCAUAGUAGUACUAGUAGAGUUGUUGAAAUAAAUUAGUUGGAAUAGUAGGUAAACUCAUAUUAAUAUCUAGAAAAAAUAAAUACUCUUUAAAUGACACAAUAAAUUUAUGUGGCUAGAGAGAAAAAUAAUUAGUAUUUUAUUUGGUCCAUAUUAUAUGAUGUUUUAGUUUGGACGUAGCUCUUAAGAAAUUCAUCUACACCUACAAAGUAAGAUGUAUUUCACUAAAUUACUCUUCAUUAAAUAGUUUGUCCGUUGAGUAAAAAAAAUAUUUAUAUAAUAAUGGUAAAAAAAAUAUAUUAAUUAUUUUGGAUCAAAUAUAAAAGCUAAAAACAACAUAUAAUAAAAUUUUGAGAUAGUGAUUAUUUAAAAUUAUGGAGUAUCUAUAGACUAUAUAUAAUAUUCUCUUUCUUUUAAUUUAUUUGUCUUACUUUUUUAAUCCGUUUAAGAAAAAGUAUCUCUUUCAUUUUUUUGACAAAUUAUUAAUUUUAAUUCUCUCUAUAUGGUAUAUCUAAGACUAUAAUAUAAAAUUAAAUCUUCUUUUAUUUUUAAAAUUUUAUGUCAAGGUAAAAAUCAUAGAGAGCGUAACUUUUUGUUUUUUAUAGGUACAUUAUGGUAGGUGUGGCUUUAAUAAAAGGUGUAGUUGAUGAUUAAUUUAGCAUCAUGAUAAACGUGCUUUGAAAAAAAGGGAAAAGGGUCAAAAAUGCCCUUAACCUAUUAGAAAUAGUUCAAAAAUGCCCUCCUUCCACUUAUUGGUUUAAAAAUACCCUCAACGUUUUCUUUAGGCUCAAAAAUACCCUUUAGUUAACAGAAAUCUGAUGUGGAAUUUAACUAUUAUUUUAAAUUUUUUUAAGGAGUUUAAAAUAAGUGGCCCACAUAAUUUUCUUUUUAUAAAUCAAAUAAGCCUUACACUCAAAGCCAUUUUUGAUAAAUCUAUCCCAAAUUUUGUAUCUUUGAUUUUAAACCUUCCGUUAUUUCCUUGUUCCUUUCACAUGGAGAUUUAAAUUUUUGUUUGCUCAUCAUCUCUGACUGAAUCACUUUUGAAAAGGAUUAGAGAUAAUUUUUUUUAUAAAUUUAGUAUUAGUUCAAACUUCAUACAUAUGGGUUUAUAGCAUCAUAUGAAAAUAUUUUAAUUGCUUGUUUUCAUCUUGUUUAAUCUGUAUGUCUGGUUUUUUAAAUAACAAGAUUUUACAAACACACUGGGUUUUGGAUUGGAAGUUUUCUUUCUUAAAGAAAGAAAGAAGAGGAAGAAAAAUAGAGAAAAAAAUUAAAUUGACAGUGAAACGGGUUUGGGCUGGGUGGGGUUUAUUUUAUUUGAUAAAAAAAAUUAGAUGGAUCAAUGAAAUUUGGCUACUUGUUCAGUUAAAUUCCACAUCAGAUUUCUGUUAAUUAAAGGGCAUUUUUUAGCCAAAAAAAAUGUUAAGGGCAUUUUAAAACCAAUACAUGGAAGGAGGGCAUUUCUGAACCAUUUCUAAUAGGCUAGGGGCAUUUUUGAGCCUUUUCCGGAAAAAAAAUUUAGUAAUAAUUAUUGAUUUUUUUUUAAUUUCUCGCUUGGUGUUUUAUAUAUACAUAAAAGUUCGAUUAUUUCAAAUUCGUAUCACGUAGGACUCCAUUAGAAGAAAAAUAUUUCCUAUUAAAUAUAAAAUUUAAAUUAAAUUAUUGAAUUCGAUCAAACUCAUAUUUCACGCUCUAACUUUGCCACUAUUUGUAGCUUUUAACAAACUAAUCAUUUCCUUCAAACUACUUUAUUUCCCCCUUUUUGAAGAUUGGUAAGUCUUGUGUCAUGAACUUGGAGUUUCUCUAAAGCUUUGUGCGGCACUCAACAACUAAUUCACAAAUCUUUCACGAUCUUAUAAGUUCAAGUAAACCUUUGAAACUAAGAUCGCUAAAAGAAUGACACUUGGCAACUCUUUUUACCAUGUUUUUUGCUAUUAUUAUUAUUAUUAAAAAUAAGACAGAUAAUUUACUAUAACGACAAAUCAAAAUAUAAUAAUGAUAAAAGCUGAUUUGAAUUUUUUUUACUAUUACUCAUUAUUAUUAUUAUUAUUAUUUUUCAUUAUUAUUAUGAUCAUUUGAUCAUGAAAUUCUAUUGUAUAGUCUCAUGUUCAAUCUGUGAUUUAUUUGAUAGGGACAUUGUACUGGCUUAUCACGUGCAAACGAUUAGGCAUAUUGAUUUAUUUUAUAUUAUAGAAUUUUAACCUAAUUUUUAGGUGUAAAUUUAAAUUAAUCGAAUUUUAAAAGAAACACCGAUUAGACGGCACAAAUCCCCAGGACUAAUGUAACAUAUUUCAAAGAACUCAAUUCUCAUGGACUAUUUUUACUAAUUGUGUUUGAACAUAUUAUUUUCGUAUCCAAUUCAAGAGUUCAUUGUUUUAAUUGUUAAUUAAAUUAUUGAAAAUAGGUGAAUGAAAUUUGAUUUUUAGUUUUUAUCUUUUGUAUCAGAAAAAGUCGCUUAUUUGGUGCUAUUUAACUUAAAAAGUUAUUAUUCUUUUAAAAAUAAAAAUAAAAUAUGAACAAUCACUUAUCUUUUAUUAUUUUACUCAAAAGGCCACUCAGAUCGAAAAAAUGAUACAUCCAAAUCCAUUUAAUGAUAUUGACAUUUGACACUUGAUUUUUAAAUUAAAGAAUAAAAAGUUCAUUUUAAUCAAAAAUUUCAUUUCUGACUCUUUAUGAUCCAAAAUUAGGUCACGAAAUCAAGACGUGGCAUGUUCAUAUUGCUGAAAAUUUAUUAUUUAUUGAUAGAUUAAAAAAAUUUGCUCAACAUAUUAACGUAUUUAUGAUAAGGUAUUUGUUCGAUUUUAAUUAAAAUGGGUUUGAUUUAAUGUUUUACUUAAAAAUCAGAUAUGCUUACAUCAUUAAAAAGUAAUUGAAUAUAUCACUUUUUGAUAUGAAUGACCUUUUGGGUAAAAUAACUACAAAAAAAGUGACUUUUAAUUUCUUUAGAAAGAAAAACUAACAUUUUGAGUUAAAUCGCAAAAAUAUAAAUUAUUUAUUAACUUAUUUUUAAUAAUUCAAUUUUCAAUAUUAAAAUCUUUAGUCACUCAAGUCAACCAAACAAAAACCUUUAUUUGUACUACUAAAAUUGCUCAUGCGCAAUUACAAGUGUACCCUUAGAAAUUCAAAGUAUUACUAUAACAUAUAAUUAAUUAGCUUGAGACUUUUCAACAUAAGAGAAACUAAAACAAGAUCUGAAACAAUUAAGCAUCAAAAACUUCAUCUUGACUCAUUCUUGGAUAGCUUAAUCACCUGAAAUUAAUUAACAUAAUACAACAUUAGGAUUGUGUUCAUAAAUAAAAGAGUGGACCAAAAUCUUAAACGAUAGAUAAAAAUGAUUGACGAUGACUUACUUGCACACCCUUGCAUGGGGUACUGACAUCACAAUAAGCUUCGAGAGUGAUCAAGAUUUGAUUGUCCAAAUCCUCAGCAUACUUAUAGCAAGGACAACUAGUCCCGAGUAUUUUCCUGAAUGUCGGGCAACAUGCAUCGAUUGAAGUUGUCUCGAACAUGCAUGUCUUCACUUGUUGUUGGUCACUAGCCGAGCAAAUCGUUGCCGGGGCGGGAGGUGGUGGUGAUCUUGGUGGUGGAGGUGGUGGUGAUCUCGGUGGUGGAGGUGGUGGUGAGCACGGUCGUGGUCUAGGUCGUGGUCGUGGCCUUGGCCUUGGAUGAGGGCAUGGUUGUGGCCAAGGAUACGGCCACGACAAAUGUUGACAUAGAAAAUCAAAUGGGGAUGAACCUAGUGACUCACUUCCCUCAUCGACCAAGGCGACUUCUUUCGCCAUGGUCACUUGGUGGUGGCUGCAAAUAAAAUUGCAGCCACCACUAACAUCAUGAGCAUCUUCAUAAUUGCCAUUUUUCACUAAUUAAGUGUUUGUACUAUGAAGAGAUAUCAACCAUCUAUAUAUAUACAAAAA
rnacentral:lncRNA from 1 species